GGAUGUGAUCAUACCAGCACUAAAGCACCGGAUCCCAUCAGAAAUCCGAAGUUAAGCGUGCUUGGGCGAGAGUAGUACUAGGAUGGGUGACCUCCUGGGAAGUCCUCGUGUUGCAUCCC
rnacentral:rRNA from 2 species